AGCCCGUCGGGGCGGCACCGCCGAGGUACGGGGCUCUCCCGGCCCGGCAAGGGGAGCUGAGGAGAGGAGAGGCAAGGAUGGACGGGAUUUCUGCAGUGCUGAAGGUUCGCGUGUUUGGUUAGCCAGGGAUCCUGAAGUUCCUCCAAAAACGGGCAGAGGCACUCAGGCUGUGCGGAGUCACCGUGUUCCUAGUACAGAAUUAUCAGAAGGACAGAAAAGCUGUGCUCCUGCUGUAGAAACUUGGUUUUCCUGCUUCUGAACCAAAGUUAAAGGGGUGGGAAUCCUGAGGAGCUUUUUUGCACGGUGAGGUUCUGAAAGUGUUCUUCAGGGCAAACACAGUUCUGCACAAUGGUACAAAAGCUUCCACGGGAGUCUCCUGUUAUUUCAGACCUUCUACUGUGGCAUUUGGAAAACCUGAAGACAGUCUGGUUCCAUGGAUGGAAAAAUGGGGAAAAUGUGAGAAAGGGGAACUUAGAUAAUUUGGAAUAAAUAACCCAAAUCUGGGAUAGUAGAAGGAAAAUCAAAUAAACAAAGAAAAACACACCAAAAAACCCCAAACCAACUAAACAAAUUUUCUACAAAAAUACAACGAACUGAUCAAGGAAAGGAACAGAAAAAACAAACCCUGAACUUCCUCCGAAAUCAAGUUGUUGAGGUGCUUGAACAAGAUUAGAGAGCAGCAUAAAAGCAGGUAUUUUAUAGAAGCGAUCUAUCAAAGAAUGAACAGGAAUGAAGAAGAAAAUGCUUUAAACUUGAAGGAGAAACAAUUUUUUCAGAAACCUGAGGAUGUUUCUUCACCUAUGCAGAACUAGUGAGCGUCUUCAGUCAGAACACUGUGGGCAAAUAUGCAUGGAGCAUUCUUCAGUGCAGUGAAAAUGGAGUGUAGAGAGUAUUAAAGUGUUUAACACAAUCAUUUCCAGGGAUUUAUACAGCAUUUAGUCUUUUAUGAAAUGACAGACUGAUAAAACUACUUCUGACAAGAGUGCUUCAUGUACAUUGGUAACUCUCGGGGAUGUAAUUGCAAGGGUGCAAUCCUGCUUAUUCUUGGGGAAAAAGAAAAUCUGUUUUACUUGGAGGGAAUAGGAUUACAUUUCCACAGAGCCAAGAGUAGCUGGUGUGUGCUAAAUGAACCUGCAACACAGCAUAACGGUGAAAGAAAACAGUUCAUAGAACAUCAAAGAACACUGAAGUCAUUGUUCAAGUUUUAUUUGUUCCUACAUCAGUUUUCAGUAGAAAAACUUUCACUUCUCUCUGCUCUGAAUGCACCGUCAGCUUUCUGCAAGUCUUGUGAGUAAAUAAAGCUCAUUUGCCUCGGAACUCCUUUGCAGAGGAAGUUUUCAUCCUGGCUUAAGGCCGGAUGUUAUCAGGUGAGGAGCAGCCUCCAGUUCUUUACAGGUAAGAGUGUGCCUGCUCAGACAUGCAGAAGCCUUCAAGUUAAAACCCACAACGCUUGAUAUCUCACUGCUGUAAUGCUGGAGGAAAACUGAAGGGAGCUGUAAAUAAUGUGAAAAUGUGGGACUGUUUGUAUGUUUUUAUAUCUGUGUGUGAAUUAGGGAUUUUGGCUGGAGGGUGCUGUACAGCAGUGCUUGCUGCAGUGGAAUUAGGAGCUCACCCAGGGACGAUUGAGAAGUUCCAGGGGGUGUGUGGGUGCAGCUUUAUUCUGCAGUAGUUUGAAAAAGCUCAUUUUUAACUGGAGAGAAGCUUUGCUCACAGCAGCAAUCAGAAGCAACAGGAAAGCUUCACCUGAGGUGCUGCUCAGCCACUUCCUUCCCCUCCCUUCCUCUCACCUCUCUUGGUUGUUUGGAGCAGUUAUUCUUCCGUGCUCCCCCUUGGCCUCCUCUACACCCUGUGUUCUCACUAUUUUGUGCUGUUUAUUCAUUUGCCUCACUGAGAUGAUCAAAAGCAGAACAGGAAUUACUGCAACAUUCAACUUCCCCAGAAAAUCAGCUGCAGGGGAUGGAAAGGGGCUUAGGGGUGUUCCAGCAGGAGCUCUGCUGUGGUGCUUGUAGAAGGGGUAGUGUGUGAAGACGUAUGGAGAGAGUUUGGGUGAAGAAAAAGGAGUUCAGUGUUGUGCAGUGUGGGAAGGAUCUUCCCUGGGACACUGCUCAGGUGCGCAGGCAGCAGCUCUGAUAUCACAGAAGGCAGGCUUGGAGUUUUGACAGGCAAGGCACUGGGAAACUCUCUUGGAGCCCUCCUGAUGUUCCCCUGCCCAGCUCAGGGAAUGUUCAGCAGCCAGAGCAGUGCUGGUGCUGGUGUGCAGUGGAAUGGGGUUCCAGAGCCCUGGUGACCCUGGGGCUUUGUGACAGAGCUGAAGGAGCUGCUGUAACACAAGUGACAUUCAAGGUCAACCUUUUGGCAUUUGUUUCAUUUAAAAGAGAAAAGUGUGAGCAAUUCUUCUCCCCAAGUUAUUCUAGUGGAAAAGCAUUGCUGCUUUAAAGAUUAAGUUCCUCACACUGGAUAUCCAUGGAUAUUUUCCUCCAGGAUCAUUUUCCUUUGUAGCGAGAGCAAGUUAUUUAGCCAUUAUCAGUAAACAGUGCAUCUUAGAAAACUUGAUGCUUUUCCUGACACUUUAAUCUCUUUUUACAUCCCAGAAAGCAAAUAGCGUCAUGAUUUUUCCCGAAGUCUUACUGAGAUUUAUUUUAAACCCACACAACCAAGCCUUGUAAACAGGUGUUAAGUCCUUUGGUGAUGACUCUAAAGCAAUGUUAAUUUUUUUUUCUGUCAAAUUGCUUUUCAUCUUACACUAGGAUUAUAUGACUUUCUGUGCCUCAUAUAGGAUUAAAUUUUUAACUGUCAGAAAGUUUUUUUUGAAAUGAUUUGCACUUUUUGUAGUCAGAGUCCACUUGUUCAUUAGGUGAAGACCAUGUCCCUAACAACAGGCUGGUGCAGGACCCAUCAUGAACUGCAGAUUUUGAAGUGGCUAAUUGUAGUCAUGGACUGCUUGAGACAGUCUCUUAAGGCAUGAAAAUAUUCAAUAGCAUUGGGCUUUUGUCUUCAUUUCAGUGUCUGUUCUAUAAGCUUGCUGAGCAUGACUUAAAAUAUUAAAAAAUGACAAGAAAAUGAACAGCUCCAGCAGUUAGUCAAAUGAUGGGAAAACAGCAGUUCCAGUGAAAGCAUGAAAUAUUUUCUGUGGCAUCAGAGCCUGGAAAGGCUGGUGCCUGUUUGCUGCUGUGUGGAACAGCCAGAGGCGUCUGUGCUGCUGCUGAGAUGGAGACCUCUGCAGCCUCUUGGCUGGCUGCAUUUCAUUAACUUUUAUAAACCUCUUGCCUUCGAUAACAGCCAGUGAAACUCCGGCACGAUGUCUCCCUCUAGGCCCCAGACAGCUCCAGCUCGCACUAACUCAGCGCUGGAGUUGAAUGAAAGACAGAUUAUUCCGUCACCUGUCAGCAGCUGCGGCAGU